rnacentral:lncRNA from 1 species
AUGACUAAAUUCUCAAGAUGCAAAUUUGAAUUAAAGAUGAAUAACAUAAGAAUCUUAUACUGGAGGCUGUCUGAUCCAGGCACUAUAACUAUCCACUAUUGUCCUCUAUCCACCUGGCCUCAUCCAUGAAUUAGGUCUAAAAAUAUGGUCACCAGAAGCUUGCCAACUCAUAUGUACCACAUUUGCCACUGGGAGAGGGUGACACAGAAAUGUUCUAAAUUAAGACGGGAAAAAGAAGCCACUCAGAAAAUAUUCUAAUUUUCUCAGCUUUUGGCAGGUUUGUAGCCUGACUGAUCAACUAAAUCUACAUGGUUGAUGAAGGAAAGGAUAUUAGUGGCAGAGCCUCGGCCAAGUGUUGCCCCCUUGCUCCAUUCUUGGUCUAUAAGAAAAUGGCAACUCACAUUCAAAACAAGGUGCAAAGGGAUAUUAGUUUAGAUAAACCA